ensembl:snoRNA small nucleolar RNA SNORA2/SNORA34 family
UUGGCCCUGAAUCAAGGCUGGCUGUUUUCUGAUGCUGUUGACCUCAACCAGGAACCUAAAGUGGUAACUUUCUACGGUCUGUUGGCCAUUUCAGAAUUUUAGAAAUAAAAUGGUCAAUUCAUUAGAAAGAAACAACC